rnacentral:sRNA from 1 species
GCUGGGCAUGGUGGUGCGUGAUUGUAGUCCUAGCUACUUGGGAGGCUGAGGUGGGAGGAUCACUUGAACCCAGGAGUACAAGGCUGCAAUGAGCUAUAAUCGCACCACUGUACUCCAGCCUGGGCAUCAGGGUAAGAGUAAGACCAUGUCACUAUUUUUCUUUUUAAAAGGAAAUUAAAAAAAAAAAAAAAAGGAAAGGCAGGGGGCAGGGGUUAAGAAUUUGAGUGAUAGCCUGGGCAAUAUAGUGAGACCCCAUCUCC